rnacentral:RNase_P_RNA from 1 species
AGCAGACUGAACAGUCGCGGGUAUAACUCGAAAGGGUGUAUCUGAGGAAAGUCCGAGCUCCGCAGGGCAGAAUAACGGCUAACGGCCGCCGGGGGCGACCCUAGGGAUAGUGCAACAGAGAGAUACCGCCCGGUUUUACUGUGGUAAGGAUGGAAAGGCGAGGUAAGAGCUCACCAGCGUAUAGGAGACUAUACGGCUAUGUAAACCCUAUUCGGAGCAACACCGCAGAGAAACAUAUAGCGCUUGCCCGGCGCGUUUCGAGAAGGUGGCAUGAGCCGCGGUGGCAACACCCGGCCAAGAUAGAUGACUGUUCACGACAGAACUCGGCUUAUAGGUCUGGUCG